rnacentral:ncRNA from 2 species
CCAUUCAUGUUCCGCCAGGGUGCGCUGCUGACGCGGCGUGAAACGGGAAGUCGGUGCGCCCAUCCAGGCAAUCCCGACGCUGCCCCCGCAACGGUAAUCGACGGCAGGCCACAGCCUGCACCUUGUCCACGGCCACUGGGUAUUCCCGGGAAGGCGGACCGGGGUCGUGAGCCCGGAGACCGGCCCCGGCGGUGCGACUGGU